rfam:Chlamydia psittaci 08-2626_L3 genomic scaffold CP_08_2626_L3.contig.624, whole genome shotgun sequence.
GACCAAGUUAUUAAGAGCUAUUGGUGGAUGCCUUGGCAUUGACAGGCGAUGAAGGAUGCGUUUACCUGCAGUAAUCUUCGGCGAGCUGGUAUAAAGCUAUGACCCGGAGGUCUCCGAAUGGGGCAACCCGGUAGAUUAAUCAUCUACCAUUAUACGUUGAAUACAUAGACGUAUAAGGCGACACCUGCUGAACUGAAACAUCUUAGUAAGCAGAGGAAAAUAAAUCAAAGAGAUUCCCUGAGUAGCGGCGAGCGAAAGGGGAGAAGACCAAACCACAUUUUUAAUGUGGGGUUGUAGGGUCGAUAACAUGGGAUCUUAAGUUUUAGUUGAAUACUUCUGGAAAGUAGAACGAUACAGGGUGAUAGUCCCGUAGACGAAAAAACAAGAGACUCUAUUCGAUACCUGAGUAGGGCUAGACACGUGAAACCUAGUCUGAAUCUGGGGAGACCACUCUCCAAGUCUAAAUACUAGUCAAUGACCUAUAGUGAACCAGUACUGUGAAGGAAAGGUGAAAAGAACCCUUGUUAAGGGAGUGAAAUAGAACCUGAAACCAGUAGCUUAUAAGCGGUCGAAGACCUAUAACUUCUUAGGAAGUCAUGGUUGACGGCGUGCCUUUUGCAUGAUGAGCCAGGGAGUUAAGUUAAACGGCGAGGUUAAGGGAUCUACAUUCCGGAGCCGAAGCGAAAGCGAGUUUUAAAAGAGCGUUUAGUCGUUUGAUUUAGACACGAAACCAAGUGAGCUAUUUAUGACCAGGUUGAAGCAUGGGUAAGACCUUGUGGAGGACCGAACCAGUACAUGUUGAAAAAUGUUUGGAUGAGUUGUGAAUAGGGGUGAAAGGCCAAUCAAACUUGGAGAUAUCUUGUUCUCUCCGAAAUAACUUUAGGGUUAGCCUCGGAUAUUAAGCUUUUGGGGGUAGAGCACUGAAUUCUAGCGGGGGCCUACCGGCUUACCAACGGAAAUCAAACUCCGAAUACCAAAAGCGAGUCCGGGAGAUAGACAGCGGGGGCUAAGCUUCGUUGUCGAGAGGGGAACAGCCCAGACCGCCGAUUAAGGUCCCAAAUUUUAUGCUAAGUGAGUAAGGAAGUGAUGAUUCUAAGACAGUUGGAAUGUUGGCUUAGAGGCAGCAAUCAUUUAAAGAGUGCGUAACAGCUCACCAAUCGAGAAUCAUUGCGCCAAUAAUAAUCGGGGCUCAAGCAUAAAACCGAAAUCGCGGGUGUAUAUUUAUAUAUACGCGGUAGGAGAGCGUAGUAUUCAGCAGUGAAGGUAUACCGUAAGGAGUGCUGGAGCGGAUACUAGUGAAGAUCCAUGGCAUAAGUAACGAUAAAGGAAGUGAAAAUCUUCCUCGCCGUAAGCACAAGGUUUCCAGGGUCAAGCUCGUCUUCCCUGGGUUAGUCGGACCCUAAGUCGAGGCACAAAUGCGUAGACGAUGGAGCAACAGGUUAAAUAUUCCUGUACCACCUAAAACUUUAGCAAUGGAAUGACGGAGUACGUUAAGCACGCGGACGAUUGGAAAUGUCCGUAUCACAAUGAGACCGGUUAGUAGGCAAAUCCGCUAACAUAAGGUUAGGUUGUGGUUAAGGGAAAUCUUCGGAGGAACUGAUAGUGUGGCGCAAGGCUUUCAAGAAAUAAUUUCUAGCUGUUGAUGGUGACCGUACCUAAACCGACACAGGUGUGCGAGAUGAGUAUUCUAAGGCGCGCGAGAUAACUUUCGUUAAGGAACUCGGCAAAUUAUCCCCGUAACUUCGGAAGAAGGGGAGCCUCUUAGGGUGAUUGCCUUUACGGCAUGAGCUCCGGGGNNNNNNNNNNNNNNNNNNNNNNNNNNNNNNNNNNNNNNNNNNNNCCGGGGGGCCGCAGAGAGAUGGCCCAGGCGACUGUUUAACAAAAACACAGCACUAUGCAAACCUCUAAGGGGAAGUAUAUGGUGUGACGCCUGCCCAAUGCCAAAAGGUUAAAGGGAUAUGUCAGCCGCAAGGCAAAGCAUUGAACCCAAGCCCUGGUGAAUGGCCGCCGUAACUAUAACGGUGCUAAGGUAGCGAAAUUCCUUGUCGGGUAAGUUCCGACCUGCACGAAUGGUGUAACGAUCUGGGCACUGUCUCAACGAAAGACUCGGUGAAAUUGUAGUAGCAGUGAAGAUGCUGUUUACCCGCAAAAGGACGAAAAGACCCCGUGAACCUUUACUGUACUUUGGUAUUGAUUCUUGAUUUGUUAUGUGUAGCAUAGCCAGGAGACUGAGAACACUCUUCGUCAGGAGAGUGGGAGUCAUCGUUGAAAUACUGGUCUUAACAAGUUGGGAAUCUAACAUAAUUCCAUGAAUCUGGAAUAUGGACAUUGCCAGACGGGCAGUUUUACUGGGGCGGUAUCCUCCUAAAAAGUAACGGAGGAGCCCAAAGCUUAUUUCAUCGUGGUUGGCAAUCACGAGUAGAGCGUAAAGGUAUAAAAUAGGUUGACUGCAAGACCUACAAGUCAAGCAGAGACGAAAGUCGGGCUUAGUGAUCCGGCGGUGGAAAGUGGAAUCGCCGUCGCUUAACGGAUAAAAGGUACUCCGGGGAUAACAGGCUGAUCGCCACCAAGAGUUCAUAUCGACGUGGCGGUUUGGCACCUCGAUGUCGGCUCAUCGCAUCCUGGGGCUGGAGAAGGUCCCAAGGGUUUGGCUGUUCGCCAAUUAAAGCGGUACGCGAGCUGGGUUCAAAACGUCGUGAGACAGUUUGGUCUCUAUCCUUUGUGGGCGCAGGAUACUUGAAAGGAGCUGUUCCUAGUACGAGAGGACCGGAAUGGACGAACCAAUGGUGUGUCGGUUGUUUUGCCAAAAGCAUAGCCGAGUAGCUACGUUCGGAAAGGAUAAGCAUUGAAAGCAUCUAAAUGCCAAGCCUCCCUUAAGAUAAGGUAUCCCUAUGAGACUCCAUAUAGACUAUGUGGUUGAUAGGUUGGGUGUGUACGCACAGUAAUGUGUUUAGCUAACCAAUACUAAUAAGUCCAUUGACUUGGUUUU